rnacentral:misc_RNA from 1 species
GUACUCUCACACUCUCUGAUCCUUUGGAUUUGGGGAGCGGUGGACUUGGGUGCUUGCUGCUUUCCUUGUGGCUCACCUCAAAUAUGUUAGUGCAUCUCCUGAUUGGACAUAGUACGGCGUGAUAAGUGUCUUCGCCGGCGCCUCGUUACGAGGGUGGCCAAUUGGGGGCGCUGUGCUCUCAAACCGUCUUCGGACACUGUCUGACA